GUGCUCACUUCAGCAACACAUAUACUAAAAUUGGAGCGAUACAGAGAAGAUUAGCAUGGCCCCUGCACAAGGAUGACAUACAAAUUCAUGAAGUGAUCCAUAUUAAA
ensembl:snRNA U6 U6 spliceosomal RNA